ensembl:snRNA U6 U6 spliceosomal RNA
UUGCUUAGGCAGCACAUGUAUUAAAAUUGGAAUGACACGAAGAUUAUUAUGGCCCCUUUACAAGAAUGACACACAAACCUAUCAAGUAUUACAUAUUUUU